GACGGAGGAUGCAAGUGUUAUCCGGAAUCACUGGGCGUAAAGCGUCUGUAGGUGGUCAAAUAAGUCAACUGUUAAAUCUUGAGGCUCAACCUCAAAAUCGCAGUCGAAACUAUUAGACUAGAGUAUAGUAGGGGUAAAGGGAAUUUCCAGUGGAGCGGUGAAAUGCGUAGAUAUUGGAAAGAACACCGAUGGCGAAGGCACGUUACUGGGCUAUUACUAACACUCAGAGACGAAAGCUAGGGUAGCAAAUGGG
rnacentral:rRNA from 1 species